rnacentral:rRNA from 1 species
CUAGCUACAGGCUUAACACAUGCAAGUCGAGGGGCAGCAUGGUCUUAGCUUGCUAAGGCCGAUGGCGACCGGCGCACGGGUGAGUAACACGUAUCCAACCUGCCGUCUACUCUUGGACAGCCUUCUGAAAGGAAGAUUAAUACAAGAUGGCAUCAUGAGUCCGCAUGUUCACAUGAUUAAAGGUAUUCCGGUAGACGAUGGGGAUGCGUUCCAUUAGAUAGUAGGCGGGGUAACGGCCCACCUAGUCUUCGAUGGAUAGGGGUUCUGAGAGGAAGGUCCCCCACAUUGGAACUGAGACACGGUCCAAACUCCUACGGGAGGCAGCAGUGAGGAAUAUUGGUCAAUGGGCGAGAGCCUGAACCAGCCAAGUAGCGUGAAGGAUGACUGCCCUAUGGGUUGUAAACUUCUUUUAUAAAGGAAUAAAGUCGGGUAUGCAUACCCGUUUGCAUGUACUUUAUGAAUAAGGAUCGGCUAACUCCGUGCCAGCAGCCGCGGUAAUACGGAGGAUCCGAGCGUUAUCCGGAUUUAUUGGGUUUAAAGGGAGCGUAGAUGGAUGUUUAAGUCAGUUGUGAAAGUUUGCGGCUCAACCGUAAAAUUGCAGUUGAUACUGGAUAUCUUGAGUGCAGUUGAGGCGCGCGGAAUUCCUGGUGUAGCGGUGAAAUUGCUUUAGAUAUCACGAAAGAACUCCGAUUGCGAAGGCAGCCUGCUAAGCUGCAACUGACAUUUGAGGCUCGAAAGUGUGGGUAUCAAACAGGAUUAGAUACCCUGGUAGUCCACACGGUAAACGAUGAAUACUCGCUGUUUGCGAUAUACAGCAAGCGGCCAAGCGAAAGCGUUAAGUAUUCCACCUGGGGAGUACGCCGGCAACGGUGAAACUCAAAGGAAUUGACGGGGGCCCGCACAAGCGGAGGAACAUGUGGUUUAAUUUGAUGAUACGCGAGGAACCUUACCCGGGCUUAAAUUGCAGAUGAAUUACGGUGAAAGCCGUAAGCCGCAAGGCAUCUGUGAAGGUGCUGCAUGGUUGUUGUCAGCUCGUGCCGUGAGGUGUUGGCUUAAGUGCCAUAACGAGCGCAACCCUUGUUGUCAGUUACUAACAGGUUCCGCUGAGGACUUUGACAAGACUGCCAUUGUAAGAUGUGAGGAAGGUGGGGAUGACGUCAAAUCAGCACGGCCCUUACGUCCGGGGCUACACACGUGUUACAAUGGGGGGGUACAGAGGGCCGCUACCACGCGAGUGGAUGCCAAUCCCCAAAACCUCUCUCAGUUCGGACUGGAGUCUGCAACCCAACUCCACGAAGCUGGAUUCGCUAGUAAUCGCGCAUCAGCCACGGCGCGGUGAAUACGUUCCCGGGCCUUGUACACACCGCCCGUCAAGCCAUGGGAGCCGGGGGUACCUGAAGUGCGUAACAGGGAGGAGCGCCCUAGGGUAAAACUGGUGACU